AUUUCGUGAUAAGGGCACUUCCGUAAUAAUUAUUUGUACCUUUCCCAUGCCUUAUACAAGGACUCAUCAUCCAUAUGUUGAAAAUCAGUGAUCUGGUUCCUCAACUU